UACGUAGGGUGCGAGCGUUGUCCGGAAUCAUUGGGCGUAAAGAGCUCGUAGGCGGCCUGUUGCGUCCGCUGUGAAAUCCCGGGGCUUAACCCCGGGCGUGCAGUGGAUACGGGCUGGCUGGAGGCAGGCAGGGGAGAACGGAAUUCCCGGUGUAGCGGUGAAAUGCGCAGAUAUCGGGAGGAACACCAGUGGCGAAGGCGGUUUCCUGGAGCUAACUUGACGCUGAGACGCGAAAGCUGGGGGAGCAAACGGG
rnacentral:rRNA from 1 species